ensembl:misc_RNA Metazoa_SRP Metazoan signal recognition particle RNA
GCCAGGCAUGGUGGCUUAUGCCUGUAAUCCCAGCAUUUUGGGAGGCUGAGAUGGGAGGAUUGCUUGAGGUCAGGAGUUUGAGACCAGCCUGGCCAACAGAGCAAGACCCCAUCUCUA